GAUGAAGAACGUAGCGAACUGCGAUAAGUAAUGUGAAUUGGAGAAUUCAGUGAAUCAUCGAGUCUUUGAACGCACAUUGCGCCCCCUGGCAUUCCGGGGGGCAUGCCUGUCCGAGCGUCAUUGCUGCCCUUCAAGCCCGGCUUGUGUGUUGGGUCGUCGUCCCCCCCGGGGGACGGGCCCGAAAGGCAGCGGCGGCACCGCGUCCGGUCCUCGAGCGUAUGGGGCUUUGUCACCCGCUCGAUUAGGGCCGGCCGGGCGCCAGCCGGCGUCUCCAACCUUCUAUUUUACCAGGUUGACCUCGGAUCAGGUAGGGAUACCCGCUGAACUUAAGCAUAUCAAUAAGCGGAGGA
rnacentral:misc_RNA from 1 species